rnacentral:rRNA from 1 species
GACGAACGCUGGCGGCGUGCCUAACACAUGCAAGUCGAGCGGUAAGGCCCUUUCGGGGGUACACGAGCGGCGAACGGGUGAGCAACACGUGGGUGACCUGCCCUCAGCUCUGGGAUAAGCCUGGGAAACUGGGUCUAAUACUGGAUAUGACUCCACGGUGCAUGUCGUGGGGUGGAAANCCUUGUGCGGCUGAGGAUGGGCCCGCGGCCUAUCAGCUUGGGUGGGUGAUGGCCUACCAAGGCGACGACGGUAGCCGGCCUGAGAGGGCGGUCGGCCACACUGGCACUGACAGUACGGG